rnacentral:rRNA from 1 species
GUUUCAGGACUUUGUGCAUUGAAAACACCAGAUUUCAUCUGAUCUUGGAAGGUAAGCAGGGUCAGCUCUGGUUAUCACUUGGAUGGGAGACUGCCAGGGAAUACCACAUACUAUAGACU